CACGAAGGGGGCUAGCGUUGUUCGGAUUUACUGGGCGUAAAGCGCACGUAGGAGGAUCGAUCAGUCAGGGGUGAAAUCCCAGAGCUCAACUCUGGAACUGCCUUUGAUACUGUCGAUCUGGAGUAUGGAAGAGGUGAGUGGAAUUCCGAGUGUAGAGGUGAAAUUCGUAGAUAUUCGGAGGAACACCAGUGGCGAAGGCGGCUCACUGGUCCAUUACUGACGCUGAGGUGCGAAAGCGUGGGGAGCAAACAGG
rnacentral:rRNA from 1 species